rnacentral:rRNA from 1 species
UACGUAGGGUGCAAGCGUUAAUCGGAAUUACUGGGCGUAAAGCGUGCGCAGGCGGUGAUGUAAGACAGUUGUGAAAUCCCCGGGCUCAACCUGGGAACUGCAUCUGUGACUGCAUCGCUGGAGUACGGUAGAGGGGAUGGAAUUCCGCGUGUAGCAGUGAAAUGCGUAGAUAUGCGGAGGAACACCGAUGGCGAAGGCAAUCCCCUGGACCUGUACUGACGCUCAUGCACGAAAGCGUGGGGAGCAACAGGAUACGAAACCUG